GAUGAACGCUGGCGGCGUGCCUAAUACAUGCAAGUCGAGCGAACAGACGAGGAGCUUGCUCCUCUGACGUUAGCGGCGGACGGGUGAGUAACACGUGGAUAACCUACCUAUAAGACUGAGAUAACUUCGGGAAACCGGAGCUAAUACCGGAUAAUAUAUUGAACCGCAUGGUUCAAUAGUGAAAGACGGUUUUGCUGUCACUUAUAGAUGGAUCCGCGCCGCAUUAGCUAGUUGGUAAGGUAACGGCUUACCAAGGCAACGAUGCGUAGCCGACCUGAGAGGGUGAUCGGCCACACUGGAACUGAGACACGGUCCAGACUCCUACGGGAGGCAGCAGUAGGGAAUCUUCCGCAAUGGGCGAAAGCCUGACGGAGCGACGCCGCGUGAGUGAUGAAGGUCUUCGGAUCGUAAAACUCUGUUAUUAGGGAAGAACAAAUGUGUAAGUAACUAUGCACGUCUUGACGGUACCUAAUCAGAAAGCCACGGCUAACUACGUG
rnacentral:rRNA from 1 species